rnacentral:siRNA from 1 species
AUGGAUGGAAAUUGUGUUGAUGC